rnacentral:rRNA from 1 species
GAGGAAUAUUGGUCAAUGGCCGAAAGGCUGAACCAGCCAUCCCGCGUGCAGGAUGACGGCCCUAUGGGUUGUAAACUGCUUUUGUACCUGAAGAAACCUGGUUACGAGUAACCAGUUGCCGGUAAGGUAUGAAUAAGCAUCGGCUAACUCCGUGCCAGCAGCCGCGGUAAUACGGAGGAUGCAAGCGUUAUCCGGAUUCAUUGGGUUUAAAGGGUGCGCAGGUGGGAAAAUAAGUCAGUGGUGAAAUACUGCCGCUUAACGGUAGAAUUGCCAUUGAUACUGUUUUUCUUGAGUAUGGUUGAGGUAGGUGGAAUGUGUUGUGUAGCGGUGAAAUGCACAGAUAUGACACAGAACGCCGAUUGCGAAGGCAGCUUACUAAGCCAUUACUGACGCUGAGGCACGAAAGCGUGGGGAUCAAAC